GACGAACGCUGGCGGCGUACUUAACACAUGCAAGUCGAACGGAGUGGCGAACGGGUGAGUAACACGUGGGUGACCUGCCCUGCACUUCGGGAUAAGCCUGGGAAACUGGGUCUAAUACCGGAUAGUGUGGGAUGGGGCCGCGGCCAAUCAGCUUGUUGGUGGGGUAAUGGCCUCCCAAGGCGGCGACGGGUAGCCGGCCUGAGAGGGUGGACGGCCACAUUGGGACUGCGGCAGGGCCCAGACGGCUACCGGAGGCAGCAGGGGGGAGUAUUGCACAAUGAGCGGAAGCCUGAUGCAGCGACUCCGGGUGGGGGAUGACGGCCUUCGGGUUGGAAACGCCGGUCGCCAUCGACGCGGUAGAUGGAGAAGAAGCACCGGCUAACUACGUGCCAGCCGCCGCGGUAAUUC
rnacentral:rRNA from 1 species